rnacentral:lncRNA from 1 species
GUUGCUUGGAGAAUUCUCUCCUUGAAAAAAUAAUUCAAGUAAUAAAUAAAUGAUUGAAUCCGGAUUGGUUGCUUAUAUCCGGAUUGGUUGCUUGGAGAAUUCUCUCCUUGAAAAAAUAAUUCAAGUAAUAAAUAAAUGAUUGAAUCCGGAUUGGUUGCUUAUAUCCGGGUUGGUUGCUUGGAGAAUUCUCUCCUUGAAAAAAUAAUUCAAGUAAUGAAUAAAUGAUUGAAUCCGGAUUGGUUGCUUAUAUCCGGGUUGGUUGCUUGGAGAAUUCUCGGUUUGAAAAUUUAUGAUUGCUUUUUUGGUGAAAAUGUAUAUGUGCAAUAUGGGUAGUAACAGAAUGACACAAAUAGUAUAGACAGACAGUCAACUUACUACUUGGGGGAAUGCUUGAAAUGGCUAUGUGCCAAGAAAAAUAAGAUGCUACCAGACAAAGUGCUUAAUUUACUAGAGACAAAUUUUGUACUUCUUGUGUGUGGGGUUUGCUAACGUGCACACAACAAAAUAGCCAUGGUUGAGAUGGUGUUUUAAAGGUUGGAGUUUGUUGAAGCUUACAGAGAUGAAAUGGGACUCCCUUGUCGGGAGCUUGUUGAUGGAGAUGAGUCCAGUGGCACCGAGACCACAGGACAGAGUAUACACCACCCCUCCUUCUAGCGCCAAAUGAUAACUCCAGAUCCCGUUCCGGCCUUUUCUCCGCCUUGCUCCGUCGUCUUAUUGAAUCCGGAUUGGUUGCUUAUAUCCGGAUUGGUUGCUUGGAGAAUUCUCUCCUUGAAAAAAUAAUUCAAGUAAUGAAUAAAUGAUUGAAUCCGGAUUGGUUGCUCGGAGAAUUCUCAGUUUGAAAGUUUAUGAUUGCUUUUUUGGUGAAAGUGUAUGUGUGCAAUAUGGGUAGUAACAGAAUGACAUAAGUAGUAUAGACAGACAGUCAACUUACUACUUUGGGGAAUGCUUGAAAUGGCUAUGUGCCAAGAAGUAUAAGAUGCUACCAGACAAAGUGCUUAAUUUACUAGAGACAAAUUUUGUCCUUCUUGUGGGUGGGGUUUGCUAACGUGCACACAACAGAAUAGCCAUGGCUAAGAUGGUGUCUUAAAGGUUGGAGUUUGUUGAAGCUUACAGAGAUGAAACGGGACUCCCUUGUCGGGAGCUUGCUGAUGAAGAUGAGUCCAGUGGCACCGUGACCACAGGACGGAGAUACACCAGCCCUCCUUCUAGCGCCAAAUGAUAACGCCAGAUCCCGUUCCGGCCCUUUCUCCGCCUUGCUCCGUCGUCUUGCGGUGUAGCUGCUGGAUGGGUGCCUGCAAAACAACGCCGGAGGGGGGUUUGGACCCCGAGG